rnacentral:lncRNA from 1 species
AGGAAAGAAAAAUGCCAGGGUUGCAUUUUAACAUCCUGUUACAUUUUAGUUAAAUACAAAGGAACAUGACUUUUCAAAGAGAAAAAUCUCUCAAUAUUUCUCUCCUUUUCUCUCUUCUUUAAGACAGCAUUAAAUGAUUCCAAACAUGUUAUCUUAGGUUAUAAUUGAAAUUAGACUCCAUGGAAGGAAAGGAAUGAUGGGUUGUCCUCAGAGGCUCCUUGUUCUACUGAUUUGAUCAGUUAGUCUUUGUUAAUAAGCAAGUAAUGUGGCCUUCAGAAUAUCCAUUCUUGAGGGAAUCCAAGAAGUUCUAGGAGGAGUUCCGUUGUGGCUCAGAGGAAACAAAUCUGACUAGUAUCCAUGAGGACGUACGUUCAAUGCCUGGCCUAACACAGUGGGUUAAGGAUCUGGUGUUGCCGUGAGCUCAAUGCCAGAUCUGAGCCACAUCUGUGACCUACCCCACAGCUCACGGCAACAUGGGAUCCAUAAUCCACUGAGAGAGGCCAGGGAUCAAACACACAACCUCAUGGAUACUAUUUGGGUUCAUUACCACUGAGCCACAUUAUCCUUUAGUGAAGUUCGUGCCAGGCAUUGUGAUAGCAACUUAGCAAGCAUCAUCUCUAACCCUUUCAAUAACCCUGAAAGGCAGGAACUAUUAUUCCUGUUUGACAGAUAAGGAAACUGAGGCUUGGGCAGGUUAAGACAUGCCCUAAAAUUUGAUAGUAGUAAGUGGUUAAGUCAAGCUUCCAAUUCAGGCCUGUCUGACUCUGAAGCCGUCAUCUUUCAUCUCUGUCCAUCUCUUUUCAUUCCGGACCAGAAUGUGAUAACGCAUCUGUCCCAAAAAAGUGCCAAAAUUUUACUUUAAAAAGCAGAUUAAAUUCACUCCAGAGAAGAUAAAACUAAUAUGGGAAGUGGUGGGGAGAAGGGCCACCAUGAAGCAGGGAACUCUGAAGAUCUUAGGUGGAAGGAAGGAAACAUUAAGGCGAUGGCUAGAAUCAGGGAUUGAAUGAAUUACGUUAGGAUUGUAACAUUACAAUCAGCUGGCUGGAAGUCAGGUAGUAAAUGAGGCAGAAAGAUGCCUGGGUGCAAGGGGCUCACAUAUUUGGAACCCAGAUAAAUCUCUGCUUUUUCUUCCCAGGCUCUAUCAGUAUUUUUUUUUUUUUUUUAACCACCUGGAUUUCAUGUAUAUGUUAUUUUGUUCCAUUCUAUUUAAUAAUCUUUUCACUAGUUGUGGAACUUACUGUAAACACAAAAAGGCAGUUAUUAGGAUUCUGUUCAUCUAAAAAUUCCUGGAAACGCACUUUAAUCAAGCGACUCAGAAUUAUUCUUCACGAUUGUAUGAAAAAUGGUAACGUCCUAGGCAAAAUGGGUUUGGGCUUUAAAUAAUCAGGAGCAAAGUGUUGUCAUGGAGAGAACAUACCAUUAGGGUGAGGUAGUUUAUCAGCCCAGAAGCGUAAUAGUUGCCUGACUUUGAACAAGUCAUCAACCAGCUCUGAGCCUCAGUUUCCUUACAUGAAAGUGAAAGGGUUAAAACAGAUGUAAGUCAAUACCCCUUUAAUUUUGUGAUUCUAAAUAGUUCUAGGUGGAAGGAAUGAUUGUGCAUUGCAUUCAUAGCUAAAUGGCUUCUUCCCAGUACAGUUGCUCCUAAUUAUGGGUGGCUCAGUAAUCUUCAAGAGGAACCAGUGUUAUUUGGUUGGUGGAUACCAAUCCACUUUGAUUUGCCUCCAUCAGAGAUUGGGAAGAUGAAAGCUACCUAGAUAUGUACCAUUCUGUCAUCUUGUUAAAUGACCUUGACUCCUUAAACAUCUAGAUUUGAACUGGAGACAUUUCUGAAAUGUUUUGGGGGUACAUUUGGACCAUAAUAAACUCCACUGCAAAUGAGUUUCAUCAUCACUAUAACAGCUGCCCCAAAACUACUGGGUGGGAAUUGAAUGAUGGAUUUUAUAAGGUAGCAUCUAGGCUACCUUAUAACUCCAGCCUUUGAGAUCAGGCCUCUUAAAAAGUCAGGAGUAUUAAGAGAAAAAUAUUAAAGUAUCAUUGAUAUUCAGCUAUUUUUAUUGCUGUUACUGUUGUUGAUCAGCUAUGAUUCCUUCCCCGUUCCUCUCAACCUAUUUUUUUUUUUCUUUGUUCUAAAAAGAGGACUGCUUGCUGCAAUCUGGAGAAAUGAAAAUGGGCUUGAUUUUUGGACCCAGGCUCCAGUUAUGACCCAGGGAGUAAGCAAGGGAGGAGGACCGCUUAACCAAGGGGGUCUUGUCCACAGUUUAGGGGGAAAUCACCUUAUCUAAGGCUUUAGUAAAACCUAAAGAAUCAUCAAAAGUAGGUCAGCUAGUCUUGACUUGGAGGAGGUGUGUACACACACACACACACACACACACACACACACACACACACACACGGGGCAGAUCUCUGAAAGGUGGGACAUAGAGGAAGCCCUGUGACUCACUUAACCCUCUCUUCUCCUUUGGGGAGAACCUCUUCAGGAGAGACCACUAAGAAACAGUCUUAACUGGCAAUCUGCCGCACAGAAGAAGGGUGUCUAGCUGAGCGCAAGGCUUGCUAGCAAAGAGGAGUGAGUCACUUUCAUUUCUGAAAUCCAGUCCACGUUUUACUGAGAGCCCAGACACCGUGAAUAAGAGGAGCCUCUGAGGGCUGGUUUCUGAUGUCGCACUAGGCACGAUAAGAAUGCCAUUGACGUCAGCAGAGUCAUCAUCAGGGAGAAUGGCACCCCAGCUCUUGAAACCACACCAAGCAAUUGCAGUGCUUUUGAAAAUUAAAAGCCGGUGCUUGGGGGGAGGGGGGAGGGGAGGAAGAGAAGAAAGCAAAGACGGGGGAGCUGGUGGCUCCAGCUGAACUCUUCUUUCUUUUAUGCAUUUCCUGUAUGCGAAAAAGAGAGGCACGCGGGCGCUCCUGUGUGCAGCACACAGAAACUCCUUAAGCCCAGCCUCGGUGGGCAUUUCGGCCUGAAUUGUUUUGGGGGGGGCAGGGGGCGGGCGUAGAGGGUGGGAGAAAGAGGGAGCCAAGUGAGAGAAAGAAUUUAAUUUGGUUAACAGUUCUGCAUUCGGAGAAAACAAACCGUGCCACCCAGGUGCUGGACAGAGGCCCCAAGCCGCAGAAGAAAAUACAAGCCUGUAGAAUGAAAUUGUUGAGCUAAAACUGAUAUGCUUGAAAUGUGUGUUGAUGAAUAGAUUACAAAGGAGGAAUUAAACACUUCAAAAGAGCUACUACAAAGCAGUCUCCCUCUCCCCUCCCCAACAUAGAUGUGAACUCUUGAGUGUUUGUGUGUCUGCCUGAGAAAAUGACAAAGUUGUGGGUUUGCAAAGGGAACACUGCGGGCAGGUUGUGAUUUCAGCUUUCAGAGGUCGCUCCAAGAACAUCACCUCCAGAUGUAAUUCAAAGGGUACCUCGACUGGAAAAUGUCUUGGAGGUUAGGAAGUCUUUGAAAACAAUUCUUUGGUGUAAAUUGUUCCUGCUUUCAAAUUCCGCAAUUAAUCUCACCCUUUCCUUCUCUUUCCCAGUCCCAACUGUUCUGCCAGCUCCACCCUCACUCCAGCACCCCUACCCACCGCCCUCCCAGUGAUAUUAAAACUCCAUAGAACAGACUUGAUAUCAGAGCUUUAUUUUACAGCAUUGAUUGGCAGCUCCCCAAGACCAUAAAAUCUUCUGCUGAUUCCGAUUUUAAUAUCCAUAUCCUUCAACUAUACCAGAAAGAAUGGUUUCUGAGCCGGGGGACAUGUUAGAAGGGAAACAAAAGAACAUAUGCACACAAGCAGAAUCUGGCAGAAAACGUGGACUUAAUGAAUCGCAUUAUUUGAACCUCCUAUUUGAAAUGGACUGGUGAAAAAGGAACAGGAGAGAGAUGCACAGAAAUGGUUCUUACUUCUCAAAGGCCUUGUGUUUUUUUUGAAAAGGAAGAAGUGGCAAGCAGCACUCCUUUCAAAUACACAAACAGUAUCUGAGGGAGCACCCUCCUCUUCCUCCUAUUUGUUCUUAAAAAAAAAGAACAAAUGUUAAGCCUUAAGACGGGCUUCCUCAUCUCAUAUGACUGAGUAAAUAAAUACAGGGAAAAGGAGUUUGCAAAGCACCUUUACUGUUUACACUUAGUGCAUUAAUGGAAAGAUGCCUAAUUAGCCAUGUGAUACUAUUGGUCGCUCUGUUUGAAAGGACCCAGGUAAAUCAUUGUAACCUGGCUGACAUUGGCUAUCGUUGUUUGGUUUUCAUUUUGGUUUUGUAACAGAGACUUAGAAAUAGAGUAUUUCUUUUCUUCCUCCCCCUUUUCCUCCCUCCUUCUCUCCUGCCUUCUCUCCUCCUCUCCCUUCCUUCCUUCCAAAUACUUUUUCUUACCAUCAAAAAAGAAAGAAUUCUGGACCUACAGUCCCAAGAUCUUAGCAUGUCCUGGGUUGUGCCUGAGAGGGGUCAGAGCCCCCACCCCACCCCCAUCCAGUUGCAGGAGCCUGAGUGUGUGAAGGUGCCCUGGGUGAUGAGGUGAGAGCUGGGUGGGGAUGAGGAGGCAGAGGCCAGAGCCUUCUCCCAAGGCUUUUGUUGGCAAAAAAGGAUAAAAGUACUGACUUUGAGGUUAAUCCUGUCAACACAACACAAACUAAAAUGUUUACAUUCUCUUCACCUUUUCUGCAGUGUUGCCUUGAUUACAGAUGUUCUGACUUGUCUCCCCAGGUUGUUGCUGUUCCUGUCGGUGUGUCUGUCAUCCCCCCAUCCUGCCCCACCCAUCCCCUUCUGUGGUUAUCCGUUAUUCUCAGUCCAGAUCAUUUCCUCCAGCAAAAAAAAAAAAAAAAAAAAAA